rnacentral:rRNA from 1 species
CGAAUGCUGACAUAAGUAACGAUAAAGCGGGUGAAAAGCCCGCUCGCCGGAAGACCAAGGGUUCCUGUCCAACGUUAAUCGGGGCAGGGUGAGUCGACCCCUAAGGCGAGGCCGAAAGGCGUAGUCGAUGGGAAACAGGUUAAUAUUCCUGUACUUGGUGUUACUGCGAAGGGGGGACGGAGAAGGCUAUGUUGGCCGGGCGACGGUUGUCCCGGUUUAAGCGUGUAGGCUGGUUUUCCAGGCAAAUCCGGAAAAUCAAGGCUGAGGCGUGAUGACGAGGCACUACGGUGCUGAA